rnacentral:rRNA from 1 species
AGUGAACGCUGGCGGUAGGCCUAACACAUGUAAGUCGAACGGCAGCACAGUAAAAGCUUGCUCUUACGGGUGGCGAGUGGCGGACGGGUGAGGAAUACAUCGGAAUCUACUUUUUCGUGGGGGAUAACGUAGGGAAACUUACGCUAAUACCGCAUACGACCUACGGGUGAAAGCAGGGGAUCUUCGGACCUUGCUCGAUUGACUGAGCCGAUGUCGGAUUAGCUAGUUGGCGGGGUAAAGGCCCACCAAGGCGACGAUCCGUAGCUGGUCUGAGAGGAUGAUCAGCCACACUGGAACUGAGACACGGUCCAGACUCCGACGGGAGGCAGCAGUGGGGAAUAUUGGACAAUGGGCGCAAGCCUGAUCCAGCCAUACCGCGUGGGUGAAGAAGGCCUUCGGGUUGUAAAGCCCUUUUGUUGGGAAAGAAAAGCAGCAGGUUAAUACCCCGCUGUUCUGACGGUACCCAAAGAAUAAGCACCGGCUAACUUCGUG